CCAAUAGCGUAUAUUAAAGUUGUUGCAGUUAAAAAGCUCGUAGUUGAAUUUCGGGGUUCAUCCGUUGGUCGGGCUUUUUGGUCUGUACUGGCGUGAUGGAUUCCUACCUUCUGAAUAACCGGCAUGUCAUUAAUUUGGUGCGCCGGGGAAGCAGGACUGUUACCUUGAAAAAAUUAGAGUGCUUAAAGCAGGCUAUCGCCUGAAUACAUUAGCAUGGAAUAAUGAAAUAGGACGGCAUGGUUCUAUCUUGUUGGUUUCUAGGAUCACCGUAAUGAUUAAUAGGGAUAGUUGGGGGCAUUAGUAUUCAAUUGUCAGAGGUGAAAUUCUUGGAUUUAUUGAAGACUAACUUCUGCGAAAGCAUUUGCCAAGGAUGUUUUCAUUAAUCAAGAACGAAAGUUAGGGGAUCGAAGACGAUCAGAUACCGUCGUAGUCUUAACCAUAAACUAUGCCGACUAGGGAUCGGACGAUGUUAAUUUUUUAAUGACUCGUUCGGCGCCUUACG
rnacentral:rRNA from 1 species